CAGUCGGGCCCCAGCCAAGUCAGCAUGUGCACUGUGCGGUGUUUCAGAGAGAGGAUCGCCGUCCGAGAGCACCCCAUAUUCUCUCCUCCGUGUAGGGCGGAGGUCACGGCGGAGGUCACGGAGGUCACGGCGGAGGGCACAGCUACGGCAAAGGUCGCGGCAAGGGCGGCAAGUUCAACAUCGGCUCGCUGUUCUCCAAGAAGGGCCGCCUGUUCAGCGGCAUCAAGCACAAGAUCAGCGGCAUCACGCACAAGUUCAGCGGCCUCAAGCAGAAGCUGGGCGGCCUCGUAGGCGCCGUGAAGGCGCCGCUGGUGCUAAUCAAGGGAAAGCUGCUGCGCAAAGGAGGUCGCCUGCUUACUACCAAGGGACGGUUCCUCACCAGUUUGGCCAACAAGCUGACCAGCAAGUUCAACAAGGGCGGAGGGCACGGCGGGUACAGUGGAGGCCACAGCGGUGGAUACGGCGGAGCCGGUGGCGGGCACAUCUCCGUCCGGCCUUCGACCACCUACGGGGCGCCCUCUAGGCCCAGCAGCGGGUACGGGGCGCCCUCUAGGCCCAGCAGCGGGUACGGGGCGCCCUCUAGGCCCAGCAGCGGGUACGGGGCGCCCUCUAGGCCCAGCAGCGGGCACGGGGCGCCCUCUAGGCCUAGCAGCGGGUACGGGGCGCCCUCUAAGCCCAGCAACGACUACGGGGCGCCCUCUAGUGGAGGUCAUGGCGGCGGAUCCGGACACUCCUCCGGAGGUCACGGCGGCGGAUCCGGACACUCCUCCGGAGGUCACGGCGGCGGAUCCGGACACUCCUCCGCAGGUCACGGCGGCGGGUCGUCCGGUCACGACGGCCGCUCGCUCUCGGGCGGCUCGGUCUCCAGCUACUCGUCGUACGCCUAGGACAGAACAUGGAACAUGAAGUUCACACCAGGCAACACAACCGGCCUGCCCGUCUGGCAUCACCUGUCUGGAAGCCCUCACCUGGCAUCACUCGUCUGGCAGCUCUCUCAGUGUAGCCGGACGCUAUCCGGGCAACUCUCUGUCCGGAGAUUUAUUCCGUGCGACUCCGUCCGGAGACUCCCUACGUGCACCUCACUGGAGACGCAGUCCGGACAACUCUCUAUGUGUGUCCGGAACUUGCUGUCCGGAGGACACUGUCCGGAGCUCUCUGUCUGGACAGUCUGUCUGGAGAGUCUGUCUGUGGGACAGUCUGCCGCAUGUGACAGAUCGUGGCAGAGCAACCACAGAUCCGUGCUGUUUUCGACCUCACCACCUGUCGGGCUCCACCCGCCUACACACACAUCAAAUGCAGCGCCGACGACAAACCGUCUUCCACCAUCACGUUUAGAAGUGCCUGUGUAUGUAGUGUGUAGUAGGUUUUAUGACUCAGAUAAGAACAACCUCUAACAGUGUAUAUCUAUCAGCGCCAUUUUUACGUCAAUAUAUGCUCGGUGAUGCCGUUUGGGGCUGAAGGUAGAUAGAAUCGCGGUGUGAUUGGUGUAUUAGGUAGCAAAUGAGCUAAAGUGCAGCAAUAAUCAAACUCUGCGUCGCUCGUUCCCUGCCACCGUGUGAGCGUGUGUCCGGGCCCGGGACCGGUGGCUGCGGGUCGCCCAGUGACGUCACACCGGUGGCUGCGGGUCGCCCGGUGACGUCACACCGGUGGCUGCGGGUCGCCCGGUGACGUCACAUCGGUGGCUGCGGGCCGCCCGUUGACGUCACACCGGUGGCUGCGGGUCGCCCGGUGACGUCACACCGGCUCACGGUGCGGCCGGUCGUGUUCGGCCGCCGGCUGUUGCCGCCGCCGGGCGGCUCAACCACCAAUCGGUGAACAGAGCGCGCGUAAGGCCGGCGCUGAGACGUCAGUCCGACGCGUUAGGCCGCGUUAGGCCGGCGGUAACACGCGGCUGGUACGGGAUAACAGCGGUGUAACACACGCCAUGUUAACUCACUGUGAACAGGGUCCACAAAUAUAGAGACAGCGUCAUCGCGGCAGCCCACGGUAUUUGCCCCUGAGAGCAGUCGCCAAAUAAAUGUCAUCCGACA
rnacentral:misc_RNA from 1 species